rnacentral:rRNA from 1 species
GUACACAAAAAUGCACAUACUGUGAGCUCGAUGAGUAGGGCGGGACACGUGGUAUCCUGUCUGAAUAUGGGGGGACCAUCCUCCAAGGCUAAAUACUCCUGACUGACCGAUAGUGAACCAGUACCGUGAGGGAAAGGCGAAAAGAACCCCGGCGAGGGGAGUGAAAAAGAACCUGAAACCGUGUACGUACAAGCAGUGGGAGCCUCUUAAUGGGGUGACUGCGUACCUUUUGUAUAAUGGGUCAGCGACUUAUAUUCUGUAGCAAGGUUAACCGAAUAGGGGAGCCGAAGGGAAACCGAGUCUUAACUGGGCGUUAAGUUGCAGGGUAUAGACCCGAAACCCGGUGAUCUAGCCAUGGGCAGGUUGAAGGUUGGGUAACACUAACUGGAGGACCGAACCGACUAAUGUUGAAAAAUUAGCGGAUGACUUGUGGCUGGGGGUGAAAGGCCAAUCAAACCGGGAGAUAGCUGGUUCUCCCCGAAAGCUAUUUAGGUAGCGCCUCGUGAAUUCAUCUCCGGGGGUAGAGCACUGUUUCGGCAAGGGGGUCAUCCCGACUUACCAACCCGAUGCAAACUGCGAAUACCGGAGAAUGUUAUCACGGGAGACACACGGCGGGUGCUAACGUCCGUCGUGAAGAGGGAAACAACCCAGACCGCCAGCUAAGGUCCCA